rnacentral:rRNA from 1 species
CGGCGGACGGGUGAGUAACACGUGGAUAACCUACCUAUAAGACUGGGAUAACUUCGGGAAACCGGAGCUAAUACCGGAUAAUAUAUUGAACCGCAUGGUUCAAUAGUGAAAGACGGUUUUGCUGUCACUUAUAGAUGGAUCCGCGCCGCAUUAGCUAGUUGGUAAGGUAACGGCUUACCAAGGCAACGAUGCGUAGCCGACCUGAGAGGGUGAUCGGCCACACUGGAACUGAGACACGGUCCAGACUCCUACGGAAGGCAGCAGCC